rnacentral:rRNA from 1 species
CCUACGGGCGGCAGCAGUGAGGGAUAUUGCGCAAUGGGCGAAAGCCUGACGCAGCGACGCUGCGUGGGCGAGGAAGGCCUUCGGGUUGUAAAGCCCUUUUGGCAGGGAAGAGCAAGGACUGUACCUGCAGAACAAGUCACGGCCAACUACGUGCCAGCAGCCGCGGUAAUACGUAGGGGGCAAGCGUUGUCCGGAAUUACUGGGCGUAAAGAGCGCGUAGGCGGUUUAUUAAGUCAGAUGUGAAAGUCUUAGGCUCAACCUGAGAAUUGCAUCUGAAACUGAUAGACUAGAGCCCAAUAGAGGAGAGUGGAAUUCCCGGUGUAGCGGUGAAAUGCGCAGAUAUCGGGAGGAAC